CCCUUAGAUGUUCUGGGCCGCACGCGCGCUACACUGAUGCAUUCAACGAGUCUAAAACCUGCUCUGAUAGGGGUGGGUAAUCUUUUGAAUGUGCAUCGUGAUUGGGAUAGAUGAUUGCAAUUUUUCAUCUUCAACGAGGAAUGCCUAGUAAACGCAAGUCAUUAACUUGCAUUGAUUACGUCCCUGCCCUUUGUACACACCGCCCGUCGCACCUACCGAUUGAAUGGUCCGGUGAAGUCCUCGGACCCAGUUGAACCUCGAGUUGAACAGGGAAAGUUGACUAAAUCUUACCAUUUAGAGGAAGGUGAAGUCGUAACA
rnacentral:rRNA from 1 species